rnacentral:rRNA from 1 species
GAUGAACGCUGGCGGCGUGCCUAAUACAUGCAAGUCGAGCGAACAGACGAGGAGCUUGCUCCUCUGACGUUAGCGGCGGACGGGUGAGUAACACGUGGAUAACCUACCUAUAAGACUGGGAUAACUUCGGGAAACCGGAGCUAAUACCGGAUAAUAUAUUGAACCGCAUGGUUCAAGAGUGAAAGACGGUUUUGCUGUCACUUAUAGAUGGAUCCGCGCCGCAUUAGCUAGUUGGUAAGGUAACGGCUUACCAAGGCAACGAUGCGUAGCCGACCUGAGAGGGUGAUCGGCCACACUGGAACUGAGACACGGUCCAGACUCCUACGGGAGGCAGCAGUCGGGAAUCUUCCGCAAUGGGCGAAAGCCUGACGGAGCCACGCCGCGUGAGUGAUGAAGGUCUUCGGAUCGUAAAACUCUGUUAUUAGGGAAGAACAAAUGUGUAAGUAACUAUGCACGUCUUGACGGUACCUAAUCAGAAAGCCACGGCUAACUACGUG